rnacentral:lncRNA from 1 species
UAUGUGGUUUCGCACUUUCUCACUUUAGUAUUCUGUGGUUUAAAGUAUAUCAAUUUGUCUUCUUGUGGUUUCGUUUUUCUCUUUUUAUUAUCAAUUUUAUUAUUAUUAUUUUUUAAAUCACUGACAAAGUUAAAAUUAAAGUGUAUUAAAAUAAAUAUUUGAUAAAUCUAGAUGGAUAUCAGAAGGUUUUUUUGUAUAUAAUUUAACGAAAUAUUAAGAAAAAAGUUGUCGAAAAAAUAAAAACAAAACCACAAGAAGGCAAAUUGAUACACUUUAAACCACAGGGCACUAAAGUGAGAAAGUGCGAAACCACGGUUUUUUUUUUUGAAGUUUUUCCAAAUUUUUAAUUGGUAAUUGUGAAGAUAUGUACAGAAGUGUUGAAAUAGGAUAUUUUUAGAUUU